rnacentral:rRNA from 1 species
CCCUUCCAGAGGGGGACAACAGUUGGAAACGACUGCUAAUACCGCAUACGAUCCGACCUCGGCAUCGAGGAUGGAUGAAAGGUGGCCUCUAUUUAUAAGCUAUCACUGAAGGAGGGGAUUGCGUCUGAUUAGCUAGUUGGAGGGGUAACGGCCCACCAAGGCAAUGAUCAGUAGCCGGUCUGAGAGGAUGAACGGCCACAUUGGGACUGAGACACGGCCCAG